rnacentral:rRNA from 1 species
UACCAGCAGUCCAAGUUGCAACCAUCAUUAUUGGGUCUAAAACAUCCGUAGCUUGCUUAAUAAGUUUCUUGUGAAAUUCUAUGUCUCAAGCAUAGAGCGAGCAAGAAAUACUAUUAGGCUAGAGACCGGUAGAUGUAAGGAGUACGGUCAAGGUAGUGGUAAAAUAUGUUAAUCUUGAUUGGACUAACAAUGAGCGAAGGCACCUUACAAGGACGGAUCUGACUGUGAGGGAUGAAAGCCAGGGGCGCAAAACGGAUUAGAUACCCCCGUA